GUUUCAUUAUGAAAGCAGACAGACACAACUACUUUAAAACUACAGAGAGAGUAUAUUAAAGAACAAAAGAACACACGAGGCAAAUACUAGUAUUGGCCCAUACAGCUAAGGACCAAGAAAGAGAAGUAAGCAAAAUGAAGUCAAAGAGCUGUUAUCAACAAAGGCAUGACUCAUUCCAGAUGUUCUGAGGGAAGCCUGCUGAUAUGUUGUGUGCUGGUUGAAGAAAAGGUUUAUGUGGCAAGAAACUGGCAUCACUGGCCAAUGGCUAUCAAGGGACCAAGGCCUACCAGCAGCCAUGUGAAUAAGCUUGGAUGUGAUUUCUCCACCAGUGAAGUAUUAUGAUACUUGCAACACCAAUAGCACCUUAACUGCAGCCUUGUGAGAGAUCCUAACCCAGCAAUAAGCCCUACUAAGGCACACCCAGAUUCCUAAGCUUCAGGAAUUAUGAGAUACUAAAUGUUUA